rnacentral:rRNA from 1 species
CCCUUAGAUGUUCUGGGCCGCACGCGCGCUACACUGAUGCAUUCAACGAGUUUCUUCCUGGUCCGAGAGGAAUGGGUAACCUUUUGAAAGUGCAUCGUGAUAGGGAUAGACUAUUGCAAUUAUUGGUCUUCAACGAGGAAUUCCUAGUAGACGUAGUUCAUCAGACUGCAUCGAUUACGUCCCUGCCCUUUGUACACACCGCCCGUCGCUCCUACCGAUUGAAUGCUCAGGUGAGCCAUUCGGACUUUCAUCAUGCUGGUUUCCAGUUUUGAUGAAGGAAAGUCUUUCGAACCUUAUCAUUUAGAGGAAGGAGAAGUCGUAACA